GGUAGGGCGGUAAGAAUUUGCAUAAGAACCCCUUCUUGGGUCGGUUCAACCUCAUCUGGACAGUUUGUCCCCUCCAUUGCCGAGCUCAUCCUCAUCACCAAAAUUCCUCGCUGUCACUCGCUCCCUCUUCAAUUCCUUCUAUACACACCGUCAGCAGCAAGCCCUCAAUCCACGUGUGAACCCUCAAUCCAUUUAAUCACCGCUGCUGCGUCAUUUGUCCCGUCUUCUUCUACCUUUCGCCGCCGCUCAGGAACAAACAGACUGCCGAGUCUGAAGUCGACGUCAUCUAAGUCAAGCUCAUCAAGUCACCGUACGAGGAUUCUGAAGAGGAGAUAGGAAGUUGAUCAAGAUAAAGAUUGUACAAUAACUCUAAGUUUAAGUAUCACCUUCCGAAUCGGAACAAGUAGCGCCGCCGGAAAAGAUACAAGAGUGAAGCACCAAGACUCAGAGUGUAUGUUGAGUUCAUACACCUCCGGAUAUUUUAUAAACUCUUAUGAGAUAAGGCCUACAAGUUAACCAAUUCUACGGCUGUAGGAUAUACAUGUUUGAAACUAUGUAGAACUGUUUUGCACUAAGGUUUGUGCUU